UAGGGAAUCUUCGGCAAUGGGGGCAACCCUGACCGAGCAACGCCGCGUGAGUGAAGAAGGUUUUUCGGAUCGUAAAGCUCUGUUGUAAGAGAAGAACGAGUGUGAGAGUGGAAAGUUCACACUGUGACGGUAACUUACCAGAAAGGGACGGCUAACUACGUGCAAGCAGCCGCGGUAAUACGUAGGUCCCGAGCGUUAUCCGGAUUUAUUGGGCGUAAAGCGAGCGCAGGCGGUUAGAUAAGUCUGAAGUUAAAGGCUGUGGCUUAACCAUAGUACGCUUUGGAAACUGUUUAACUUGAGUGCAAGAGGGGAGAGUGGAAUUCCAUGUGUAGCGGUGAAAUGCGUAGAUGUAUGGAGGAACACCGGUGGCGAAAGCGGCUCUCUGGCUUGUAACUGACGCUGAGGCUCGAAAGCGUGGGGAGCAAACAGGAUUAGAUACCCUGGUAGUCCACGCCGUAAACGAUGAGUGCUAGGUGUUAGACCCUUUCCGGGGUUUAGUGCCGCAGCUAACGCAUUAAGCACUCCGCCUGGGGAGUACGACCGCAAGGUUG
rnacentral:rRNA from 1 species